UACGUAGGGUGCAAGCGUUAAUCGGAAUUACUGGGCGUAAAGCGUGCGCAGGCGGUUUUGUAAGUCUGACGUGAAAUCUCCGGGCUCAACCUGGGAAUUGCGUUGGAGACUGCAAGGCUGGAGUCUGGCAGAGGGGGGUAGAAUUCCACGUGUAGCAGUGAAAUGCGUAGAGAUGUGGAGGAACACCGAUGGCGAAGGCAGCCCCCUGGGUCAAGACUGACGCUCAUGCACGAAAGCGUGGGGAGCAAACAGG
rnacentral:rRNA from 1 species